UCCAUCAUAAACAGAAGAUGGCAGUGGAAAUCUUUUCUAGAGAAACUGCACUAGCAGGGACUGGAAUGGAACAUGUUAGGACAAGGCAAUUUCUCAGGGAUCAAAGGUACAUCAUGGCAAACUCAUUCCUGCACUUUGGUCUCACGGUCUUUCAAAAGCUGAAUAGUAUUCCAUUGCCUUCUUCCAUUCAUCUGCUUAUGGACACCUAGGUUGAUUCCAUAUCUUGGCUAUUGUGAAUAGUGCUGCAGUAAACAUGGGAUGAUGGGGCAGAGGCCAACCAGGCCUCGCUCUCCAGGGAGAUCACUGGAGAACAAGACAAUGUGUCCACCACUCAAGCAUAUUGAGAACUGCGCUUGCGUCAAGCAUAUUGAGAGCUGCUGCUUGCGUCACACCUGCUAAUUUCCAGUGGCCAAAGCAUGUCACAUAGCUAAGCCCAAAGGUAGGAAAAUAUAUUCCACUCUGAGGAAAAGGUGGGAGGGAGUGUUUGCUGAACAAUAACCCAGUCCAACUCAAAGCAGUAAACUUUUGUAAUGGGAUAGAGUUUGUGAUUAAUAGAACAUUUUUUCUUUGAUCACCAAAACAUAGCAAAUGUAUCUUGAUAAUUCCUCUUAACUAUGUUGUUUAUUUGAUAUAAAAGAGGAAAAACUAUUAGUGGACCUGGUUGGGGAAUGGGUCACUCUAAUUACCUGAUCGUUCCUACUAAGUGGAGGUUAACCCUUCCUAUGAAUUGCAUCUGCCUUGACUCUGGACCAUGUACAUGACUACUCAGAUGAGGUGGCCAUAUGUAUCACAUCUGGACUUUUUUCUAGGCUCAUAAGGUUGUUUUGGAUAUUGUCUUCAUUGUCCACUUUCUAAAAAUUGCACUUUGCAAGUCAUCUUUAGGUUAGGAAUCAGGAUGGUAUUCAUAGUGACAGUAUACUCAUAAAAAUACAAAUGUCUCUGAUAAUUGUGUUGGGUUUCAAUAAACUUUAUUCUUUAGAACAGCUUUAGGUUCAUGGUAAAAUUGAGCAAAAGUUUUCAGAGAGUUCCCAUAUAUCUUCUGUCCCUGGCACAGUCACAGCCUCCCCCAAUAUCAGCAUCUCCCACCAGAGUGGUACAUUUAUUAUAAUAGAUGAAUCUACAUUGACAGAUCAUUAUCACCCAGAGUCCAUAAUUUACAUUAAUGUUCACUCUUGACAUUGUACACUCUAUAGCUUUGGAAAAACGUAUAAUGACAUGUCUCCACCAUUAGAGUAUCAUACAGAAUAGUUUCACUGCCCUAAAAACCCUCUGUGCUCUGCCUAUUCAUUUCCCCCUUUCCCCUAAACCCUGGCACCCCCUGAUCUUUUACUGGCUCCAUAGGUUAGCCCUUCCAGAAUGUUGCAUAGUUGCAAUCAUACAUACACAUGGAGCCUUUCAGUUUUUCUUCUUUCACUUAGUAAUAUGCAUUUAAGGUUUCUCCAUGUCUUUUCAUGGCUGAAUUGCUCCUUUCCUUUUAGUGCUGAACAUUAUUUUACUGUCUGGAGGUACCACGGUUUAUUUUUCCGUUCACCUACUGAAGGACAUUUUAGUUGUUUCCCACUUUGGGCACUUAUGAAUAAAGUUGCCAUAAACAUUCAUGUGCAGGCUUUUGUGUGGACAUGUGUUUUCAGUUCCUCUGGGUAAAUACCAAGGAGCACGAUUGCUGGAUCAUAUGGUAAGAAAAUGUUUAGUUUUGUAAGAAACUGCCAAACUGUCUUCCAAAGUGGCUGUAUCAUUGGCAUUCCCAUCAGCAAUGAAUGAGAAUUCCUGUUACUCCUCAUCCUUAACCAGCAUUGGGUGUUGUCAGGGUUCUGGAUUUGGGGCAUUCUAAUAGGUGUAUAGUAGUAUCUUGAUGCUGUUUUAUUUUGCAUUUCCCUGAUGACAGGAUGUGGAGCAUCUUUUCAAAUGUUUAUUUGCCAUCUAUACCUUUGUUGGUGAGGUGUCUGUGUAGUUCUUUGGUCUGUUUUAAAACUGGAUUGUUUUUGUACUUAUUGCUGAAUUUUAAGAUUUAUUUGUGUAUUUUGAGUAACAGCCCUUUAUCUGAUAUAUCUUUUGCAAACAUUUUCUCCCAGUCUUUGGCUUGUCUUUUCAUUUUCUUGACGGGAAACUUUUAAUUAAACAGAAUAAAGCAAAAAAACAAAAAAGUUUUGAAUCAGACAUUAAAUAUAAAAUCUCAGAAACCGUAAGCACGUCUGAGACAUUAGGUUUCUUUAAAAAGUGAUCAUCAAGGUAAUCAAAGUGCUUAUGAAUUUCUUGACAAAAUUAGAAAGCUUUAAAAACUAACAUCAAUUGUUAGUAAAUUAUAUGAAGGGGGGAUCAUAUCUGUCUCGUUCACCCCUAUAUCCCUGGCAGAGUGCCUGGCAUACAGUAAGUGUUCAAAAAAUAUUUUUAAGUGAACGAAUGUUCAUUGUGGGUUAGCAACAUUAUAGAUGUUAUUUUAUUUAAUCUCCUUGGUAAUCUUAAAAGUUAGAUUUUGGCUGGGCAUGGUGGCUCACGCCUGUAAUCUCAGCACUUUGGGAGGCCGAGGCGAGCAGAUCACAAGGUCAGGAGAUAAAGACCAUCCUGGCUAACACAGUGAAACCCCGUCUGUACU